UGCUCGUUUAGUUGAGCUGUAUAUAUGUCUUUCUAAGUUUGUGUAGUUCAAUAUAUUUCAUUUAAUUGUUGAGAAAAUUAGCACCUUCCCUAUAUCUCCUUCCAUGUGCACUCUCUGUUGUGUUUUUGGUUUGCAGUGAGUAAAGGUGCAGCUUUGUUGUUCUUCCUUGCAUUGAAGCAUGUCGACUAAACCUUCUGCUCCUAUCAUGCCGCCCAAGGAUUUGUUUAGAAUGUGCUAAUAAAUAUAGGUCUAUGGUGUUCUCCGCUGUUGUAGCAGCAGUAGAUGAGGAGCCCUACGAUAUCCUAUAUGCCCAACCUAUGGUCUAAAUUUUAUCUACGUCUAUGUAUGCCACGAACUACUGACUGAAAUUAAAAUUUAUCUGCUUUUAUGCAUAGCCGAUAUUCUCUACAUAUGUUUUGAAUCGCUGGUGUUGUCUGUAUUUAUGCUGCAUUUGUUGCUGUCAUCUGUUUCAUUUUGUGGGUUAAGAAAAAAUGAAAGCAGAUCUAUUGAAGAUAUCUUUUUUAAGUACAUCGGCUUUCUAUGGUGUGCUUUCUGAGAGGCAUUUGUGUAGCAUGUCUGCAUUUACUUUGUUAUUUUCAACGCACAUGCUCACGACAUGGCUGCAACAGCCUGACAGUAUGUUCCUAAGAUUGUUGUUGCUGAAGAGAUGAUUGCAUGUGAAGAACUGCUACAGAUCAGAUGGCAACCUUUGAUCAGGUUUUCACCUUAUGAUCUCUUGGAGUGAUCUUACCAUUCUAUGGCAACCUUUGAUCAGUCAAUGGAGAUUGACCAUGAUGAUGGCUGCAUAUGAGUGAAGAAGACAAAUGCUCUGGAUGAUGCCAAUAUGUACAAGGAUACAGGGGUGGGUCUAUCAAAUUCCUGCUAUGCAUCUCUGAUACUGGUUAAGAAGCAAAGUGCCAUGGUUAUCAUCACUGUUUUGGAGGAUAUAGACUCUAUGCCUCUCCAUCCCUUGGGCUUCUUUGAGUGCCGAAGUGUUUCAUGCUGAAUGGUACUUGGUAAAUGGAGCACGGUGCUGGAGGGAACAGAGGCGGCUGGACGAGGCAGCGGCCCGAUGGGUUUGGGCUGGUGCAGGGAAGGGGGGCUGCCGUGCGUGCGGGAAAAGGUGGUGUUGGUCAUCGCGGGAGCUCGGACAGCGAUGGCGGUCGGACAACAGAGUGGCCCCUUCUCAGUGGAGGAUCUUCUCUUCUCCGUCCUUGACUUCCUGGCGAUGCGGUUUGCCGGGUGAACAGAGGCGUCUAAACAAGGCAGCGGCGCGAUGGGGCUGGGCCGGUGCGGGGAAGCGAGGUUGCCAUGCGUGUGGGGAAAGGAGGUGCAGGUCAUUGCAGACUCAUCUCUUCCCGCCCACUUCAUCUCAACCAGGCAGCAUGACCAGCAGCGACGUGCCGCUGCCGCCGAAGCGGUUAGGGGUCCGAAGCUGCUCGCCGAGCCCUGUCACCGCAGGUGUUCUGCCAGAGCGCCGCAACUCCCUGCCUCGACAAGGAGGCGUAGCAUUGAUGGCGGGCGACGACCGGACCAG